rnacentral:rRNA from 1 species
GGAGCGUUCUGUAAGCCUGCGAAGGUGUGCUGUGAGGCAUGCUGGAGGUAUCAGAAGUGCGAAUGCUGACAUAAGUAACGAUAAAGCGGGUGAAAAGCCCGCUCGCCGGAAGACCAAGGGUUCCUGUCCAACGUUAAUCGGGGCAGGGUGAGUCGACCCCUAAGGCGAGGCCGAAAGGCGUAGUCGAUGGGAAACAGGUUAAUAUUCCUGUACUUGGUGUUACUGCGAAGGGGGGACGGAGAAGGCUAUGUUGGCCGGGCGACGGUUGUCCCGGUUUAAGCGUGUAGGCUGGUUUUCCAGGCAAAUCCGGAAAAUCAAGGCUGAGGCGUGAUGACGAGGCACUACGGUGCUGAAGCAACAAAUGCCCUGCUUCCAGGAAAAGCCUCUAAGCAUCAGGUAACAUCAAAUCGUACCCCAAACCGACACAGGUGGUCAGGUAGAGAAUACCAAGGCGCUUGAGAGAACUCGGGUGAAGGAACUAGGCAAAAUGGUGCCGUAACUUCGGGAGAAGGCACGCUGAUAUGUAGGUGAAGUCCCUUGCGGAUGGAGCUGAAAUCAGUCGAAGAUACCAGCUGGCUGCAACUGUUUAUUAAAAACACAGCA